AAACCCAUUUUCCCCAAUUUCCAUUUCCCUUCCCGUCCCCUUCUCCUAAACCGACAUUCCCUUUCCCCAUUUCCCUUCCUUCUCAUUCCGUCACUAUUCAUCAUCAUUUUCAAACCCUUCUUUGUAUCCUCAAGACCUUCGAAACCCAUGCUCUCAUCCCGCCGUCCCUUGUCUUUGAUUUUCGAAGAAAUUGGGUUCUUCUUCCUCUGAAUUUCGAAAGGCUGUGUGAAAUCAAAGUAGCAUCGAAAUCCUUUCUCCUUGUCUCUGAUUUCUGCCGAGUUAGGGGAGAAGGAGUGAGCUUCAAUCUUGUGAUUAAACAUCCAAUUCAAACCGUGAAGAAUCAAGCAUUAAGUCCGUUUUCCUCCUUGUUUCUGGUAGCUGAACAGAAGGAAGCGACAUUAUCGAAGAGCCCUUCUAAUAAGCGCGGGGUAGCAGACUUGGCCUCUUGAAGCGUUCUUUUUGCUUGUCUACAGAUCGGAACCAGUCGGGAAUAAUGGAUUAGCGAAGGUGAAUAGAGUUUCCAAGGAUGUUAAUUGAGCUGAGUACUUAGGAAUUAUAGAUUUGUAUUAGGAAUUUUGGAUAAAUGUAAAUUUGUUUUGGCUGUGCUGGUUAUAUCGCACUUGUAGAGAAUUGUAUGAUUAUCUUGUGUUUUAGUUAGAUGUUGGUUUUGGGAUUUAGCUGAGUUAGUCACGUUGAAGAGCUUGUGAUUCCUUUGCUCGAGUUUUGGAAGUGUGAUUUCAGUUUCUUGGGAAACGAACCCAGUGAUGACCCUGUUUACCCAGUCAACGGUAAGUCGGGUUGUUACACUUUUCCUAGGAAUCGGAGGCAUCUUCUUUAAGCGAAAGAAAAGGUACUAAUCACAAGAACGUCCUAAGAUUCGAAAGUUUAGGAGAAAGAACAGAGUUUUGCUGAGUUUUUGACUUAACAUUUAAUUACUUAUUUAUUAGUACAUAGG